rnacentral:rRNA from 1 species
UACGGAGGGUGCGAGCGUUAAUCGGAAUUACUGGGCGUAAAGGGCUAGUAGGCGGCUUAGCAAGUCGGGUGUGAAAACUUCAGGCUCAACCUGGAGCGGCCAUCCGAUACUGCUAUGGCUAGAGUCCGGUAGGGGACCACGGAAUUCCUGGUGUAGCGGUGAAAUGCGCAGAUAUCAGGAGGAACACCGGUGGCGAAGGCGGUGGUCUGGGCCGGAACUGACGCUGAAUAGCGAAAGCGUGGGUAGCGAACAGG